UUAGAGUUUGAUCCUGGCUCAGGAUGAACGCUAGCGGCAGGCUUAACACAUGCAAGUCGAGGGGCAGCGAGGGUGAUAGCAAUAUUACCUGUCGGCGACCGGCGCACGGGUGCGUAACGCGUAUGCAACCUACCAUCAACAGGGGGAUAACACUGAGAAAUUGGUACUAAUACCCCAUAAUAUCUCAUGCGGCAUCGCAUGGGGUUGAAAACUCCGGUGGUUGAUGAUGGGCAUGCGUUGUAUUAGCUGGUUGGUGAGGUAACGGCUCACCAAGGCGACGAUACAUAGGGGGACUGAGAGGUUAACCCCCCACAUUGGUACUGAGACACGGACCAAACUCCUACGGGAGGCAGCAGUGAGGAAUAUUGGUCAAUGGACGCAAGUCUGAACCAGCCAUGCCGCGUGCAGGAUGACGGCUCUAUGAGUUGUAAACUGCUUUUGUACGAGGGUAAACCCCGAUACGUGUAUUGGGUUGAAAGUAUCGUACGAAUAAGGAUCGGCUAACUCCGUGCCAGCAGCCGCGGUAAUACGGAGGAUCCGAGCGUUAUCCGGAUUUAUUGGGUUUAAAGGGUGCGUAGGCGGUUUGAUAAGUUAGAGGUGAAAUGUCGGGGCUCAACCCCGAAACUGCCUCUAAUACUGUUGGACUAGAGAAUAGUUGCGGUAGGCGGAAUGUAUGGUGUAGCGGUGAAAUGCUUAGAGAUCAUACAGAACACCGAUUGCGAAGGCAGCUUACCAAACUAUAUCUGACGUUGAGGCACGAAAGCGUGGGUAGCAAACAGGAUUAGAUACCCUGGUAGUCCACGCAGUAAACGAUGAUAACUCGUUGUCGGCGAUACACAGUCGGUGACUAAGCGAAAGCGAUAAGUUAUCCACCUGGGGAGUACGUUCGCAAGAAUGAAACUCAAAGGAAUUGACGGGGGCCCGCACAAGCGGAGGAACAUGUGGUUUAAUUCGAUGAUACGCGAGGAACCUUACCCGGGCUUGAAAGUUAGCGACGACGCUUGAAAGAGCGUUUCCCUUCGGGGCGCGAAACUAGGUGCUGCAUAGUUGUCGUCAGCUCGUGCCGUGAGGUGUCGGCUUAAGUGCCAUAACGAGCGCAACCCCUGCCGACAGUUGCUAACGGGUAGAGCCGAGGACUCUGUCGGGACUGCCGGCGCAAGCCGCGAGGAAGGCGGGGAUGACGUCAAAUCAGCACGGCCCUUACGUCCGGGGCGACACACGUGUUACAAUGGCCGGUACAGCGGGAAGCCAGGCGGCGACGCCGAGCGGAACCCGAAAACCGGUCUCAGUUCGGAUCGGAGUCUGCAACCCGACUCCGUGAAGCUGGAUUCGCUAGCAAUCGCGCAUCAGCCAUGGCGCGGUGAAUACGUUCCCGGGCCUUGUACACACCGCCCGUCAAG
rnacentral:rRNA from 1 species